rnacentral:rRNA from 1 species
AUACGGAGGGUGCAAGCGUUACUCGGAAUCACUGGGCGUAAAGCGCGCGCAGGCGGGCUGAUAAGUUGGAUGUGGAAGCCUACGGCUCAACCGUAGAACUGCAUCCAAAACUGUCAAGCUAGAGUCUGGGAGGGGAAGAUGGAAUUAGUUGUGUAGGGGUAAAAUCCGUAGAGAUAACUAGGAAUACCAAAAGCGAAGGCGAUCUUCUGGAACAGUUCUGACGCUGAGGCGCGAAAGCGUGGGGAGCAAACAGGAUUAGAAACCCCAGUAGUCC